CAUCAGGGGAAGCAUAUUCUUGCCUUUAUAUCCGGUGCAAAUCAAGUCACAAUUCGUGAUUAUGAGGACAAAGAAAUUAGUUACAUCGGAUAUUGGUUGAAGAAACAACUGUGACAGCUGAGGCUAGAGUAGUUGAUGGACUCCAGCUUGUGUUUUCAAACCCGUAUGAUCUGGUUUCAGAAAUCCUAAACCAUCCUGAAGCAUUCGGUUUUCAAAAUGUAAGGAGUGCAUGUUGCGGAACAGGAUACUACGAGAUGAGCUACUUGUGUGAUAAAAUGAACCCAUUCACAUGUUC